rnacentral:rRNA from 1 species
GAGUUUGAUCCUGGCUCAGGGUGAACGCUGGCGGCGCGCCUAAUGCAUGCAAGUCGAGCGAGUCAACCCCGAUUCGUCGGAGUUGGAGAGCUGGCAGACGGCUGAGUAACGCUGUGAGUAACCUGUCCUUUGGUGGGGUAAAACCCCGAGAAAUCGAGGCUAAUACCGCAUAAGGUCCCCUGGCUGUGGCUAGGGGAAGAAAGUCCUCUUGCAAGAGGAUGCCAGAGGAGAGGCUCGCGUCCUAUCAGGUAGUUGGUGGGGUAAUGGCCUACCAAGCCUAUGACGGGUAGCUGGUCUGAGAGGAUGACCAGCCAGAGGGGGACUGAGACACGGCCCCCACUCCUACGGGAGGCAGCAGCAGGGAAUCUUGGGCAAUGGGCGAAAGCCUGACCCAGCGACGCCGCGUGGGGGAUGAAGGUCUAAGGACUGUAAACCCCUUUUCCGAGGGAAGAGAAAGGACGGUACCUGGGGAAUAAGCCCCGGCUAACUACGUGCCAGCAGCCGCGGUAAUACGUAGGAGGCAAGCGUUACCCGGAUUCAUUGGGCGUAAAGAGCGCGUAGGCGGCUAGGUAAGUCUUUUGUGAAAGCUCCCGGCUUAACUGGGAGAGGUCAAGGGAUACUACUUAGCUAGAGGGCAGCAGAGGAAGGCGGAAUUCCCGGUGUAGCGGUGAUAUGCGUAGAUAUCGGGAGGAACACCAGUGGCGAAGGCGGCCUUCUGGGCUGUGCCUGACGCUGAGGCGCGAGAGCAGUGGGGAGCAAACUGGAUUAGAUACCCUGGUAGUC